rnacentral:rRNA from 1 species
AGAGUUUGAUCAUGGCUCAGGACAAACGCUGGCGGCGUGCAUAACACAUGCAAGUCGAACGAGCGCAGCAAUGCGCGAGUGGCGGACGGGUGAGGAACACGUGGAUGAUCGACCCUUGACUGGGGAAUACCCGUGGGAAACCACGGCUAAUACCGCAUACGCUCCCUUGGGAGGAAAGCCGCAAGGCGGUGAAGGACGAGUCUGCGCCCGAUUAGGUAGUUGGCGGGGUAACGGCCCACCAAGCCCGCGAUCGGUAGCUGGUCUGAGAGGAUGAUCAGCCACAUUGGGAUUGAGAACGGCCCAAAUCCCUACGGGGAGCAGCAGUGAGGAAUAUUCGGCAAUGGGCGCAAGCCUGACCGAGCGACGCCGCGUGCGGGAUGAAGCGUUUCGGCGUGUAAACCGCUUUUCUGCUAGACGAGACAGGACGGUAUAGCAGGAAGAAGUCUCGGCUAACUACGUGCCAGCCGCCGCGGUAAUAC